UACGUAGGGGGCAAGCAUUAUCCGGAUUUACUGGGUGUAAAGGGAGCGUAGACGGUUAAUCAAGUCAGAAGUGAAAACCCAGGGCUCAACCUUGGGACUGCUUUUGAAACUGAGUAGCUAGAGUGCAGGAGAGGUAAGCGGAAUUCCUAGUGUAGCGGUGAAAUGCGUAGAUAUUAGGAGGAACACCAGUGGCGAAGGCGGUUUGCUGGGCCAUUACUGACGCUCAUGCACGAAAGCGUGGGGAGCAAAUAGG
rnacentral:rRNA from 1 species